UCCGGUGAAGUGUUCGGAUC
rnacentral:siRNA from 1 species